GUAGGGGGGGCAAGCGUUGUCCGGAUUUAUUGGGCGUAAAGGGCUCGUAGGCGGGCUUGGCAAGUCGGGUCGUGAAAUUCCGGGAGCUCAACCCCGGAACGCCGAUCGAAACUGCCAUGGCUUGGGUCCCGGUAGAGGAGUGUGGAAUUCCCGGUGUAGCGGUGAAAUGCGCAGAUAUCGGGAGGAACACCACUAGCGAAGGCAGCACUCUGGGCCGGUACCGACGCUGAGGAGCGAAAGCGUGGGGAGCGAACAGGAUUAGAUACCCUGGUAGUCCACGCCGUAAACGAUGGGCACUAGGUGUGGCGGAUCGAUUAACGUCCGCCGUACCGUAGCUAACGCAUUAUGUGCCCCGCCUGGGGAGUACGGUCGCAAGGCUA
rnacentral:rRNA from 1 species